UGUACAGGUGCUGCAUGGCUGUCGUCAGCUCGUGUCGUGAGAUGUUCGGUUAAGUCCGCUAACGAGCGCAACCCUCGCUGUGUGUUACAAGUGUCACACGGAACUGCCGGUCAUAAACCGGAGGAAGUGGGGAUGACGUCAAGUCAGCAUGGCCUUUAUAUCCUGGGCUACACACACGCUACAAUGGGAAGGGACAAUAGGUUGCGAAGCCGCGAGGCGGAGCCAAUCCAGCAAAACUUCCCUCAGUUCAGAUUGCAGGCUGCAACUCGCCUGCAUGAAGUUGGAGUUGCUAGUAAACGCAGGUCAGCCAUACUGCGUUGAAUACGUUCCCGGGGCUU
rnacentral:rRNA from 1 species